GAUGAAGAACGUAGCGAAAUGCGAUACGUAAUGUGAAUUGCAGAAUUCAGUGAAUCAUCGAAUCUUUGAACGCAUAUUGCGCUCUCUGGUAUUCCGGAGAGCAUGCUUGUUUGAGUAUCAGUAAACACCUCAACUUCCAUAUCUUUUUUGAAAUGGGAGUUGGACUUGAGUGAUCCCAACGCUUUUCCUCACCGAAAAGUGGCGGGUUACUUGAAAUGCAGGUGCAGCUGGACUUUUCUCUGAGCUAUAAGCAUAUCUAUUUAGUCUGCCUAAAAAACAGAUUAUUACCUUUGCUGCAGCUAACACAAAGGAGAUUAGUUCUUGUGCUGACUGAUGCAGGAUUCACAAAGACGGCUUCGGCCGACUUUGUAAACUCGAUCUCAAAUCAAGUAAGACUACCCGCUGAACUUAAGCAUAUCAAUAAGCGGAGGA
rnacentral:misc_RNA from 1 species